rnacentral:rRNA from 1 species
CGAACGGGUGAGUAAUGCGUGACCAACCUGCCCCAUGCUCCAGAAUAGCUCUUGGAAACGGGUGGUAAUGCUGGAUGCUCCAACUUGACGCAUGUCUUGUUUGGAAAGUGUUUAGUGGCAUGGGAUGGGGUCGCGUCCUAUCAGCUUGUAGGCGGGGUAAUGGCCCACCUAGGCUUCGACGGGUAGCCGGCCUGAGAGGGCGGACGGCCACAUUGGGACUGAGAUACGGCCCAGACUCCUACGGGAGGCAGCAGUA